rnacentral:lncRNA from 10 species
GAAUUGAGGCCUCGGUGAAAAGCGCGCUGAGACUUGGGACUCAGGUGGGCGGAGCAGAGCUCAGCUUGGGAGGAGGCGGACGCGAGUAGCUCGGCAGGGGGACUCGCUUGGCUUUCGUGCCAUCCGUGGACACAGUCGCGCGGGUCUUUGUGGGAAGAAACAAAUCACAAAAGCAAUUAAGAGAGCUCAAACAAUGGGGUUUAUGCCAGUUACAUACAAGGAUCCUGCAUAUUUCAGGGACCCUAAAGUUUAUAACAUCAGAUAUCCGGAAUAAAUUCCAUCACAUUACCACCAGUAAACUUAUUUUAUAGUUACUCUCAUCUGGAUUAUUGUAGUCACCUUGUCACUGGUAUCUCUGCUUUCUCCUAACCCCCAUCUAAUCUCCAAAAAAUCAGAGCAUGUCACUCCUGGCCCCCAAAUCCCCCCAGUGACUCCGCCCUCCCCACCCUGCUCAGAAUUAAAGUCAAUGAUCUUUUUUUUUUUUUUUUUUGAGAUGGAUUCUUGUGCUGUCACCCAGGCUGGAGUGCAGUAAGUAGUGUGAUCUCAGCUCACUGCAGCCUCCGCCUCCCAGAUUCAAGCGAUUCUCCUGCCUUAGCCUCCUGAGUAGUUGGGAUUACAGGUGCGCACAAUGCCUGGCUAAUUUUUAUAUUGUUAAUAGAGUUGGGGUUUCACCAUGUUGGCCAAGCUGGUCUUGAACUCCUGACCUCAGGUGAUCCACCCACCUUGGCCUCGCAAAGUACUGGGAUUACAGGCAUGAGCCACCAUGCCCAGCCUAAAGUCAAUUAUCUCACCACAGACCACAAGGCUACUUUGAUCCAACCAGCCCAUCUUAUAUACUACCACUUUCCUGUUUUCUCACAGUGCUCCAAUCACACUGGCCUUCUUUCUGGACUUCAAACAUGCCAAAUAUACUCUCCUUGAGGGACAUAGCACUUACUGCUACCUUUGUUUGGAAUGUUCUUUCCCAGAUACCCAUGUGGCACACCCAAAUGCUUGAGUGGCCCCUUAUUAGUGAGGCCUUCCUAUAGCAUUAUAUAUAAGAUGGAUAUAAGGUAGGACUCAGAACAUACUCCCUAUCCUCCUUACUCUACUUCACCUGACUCCAAACACUGUCACCACCUGACGUAGUACAUAUUUUAUUUUUUAUUUGUUUAGCAUCUGUCUGCCUCUAACUAGAAUGCAAGCUCCAUGAGGACAGAGAUUUUUGUUUUGUUUACCGCCAUAUUGUCAGCAGCUAGAGCAAUGUCUGGCAUGUAGUAGCACUCAAUGAAUAUUAAUUGAAUAAAUGAGCUACCUAAAAAAUAACUGCAUUGAUAUCAUAACCCAAGUAGUGUCUGAAAUAAUGUAAUGAAUUACCAGAAUGCAAAUGAAUUAUUUUCCAGAUGUCUUUAAGUUGGGUGUUGGAAAGUCAAUAUGCAUUUUUCCUACAAAUAUAAAGUAAGUGCUGUUAUUAUCCCCAUCUUAUGGAUAAGACAUCUGAUAUUUAGCUUAUGCAACUAUGCCUGUUUUCUGAUUUUGAGGCAUGUACCUCACCACUUAUACUAAAUUUCCAGGUCAGAUCAUAAAACCUUACGUAAGCCAUAAAAUUCAGAUAUAAAGUAGUCUAAAAAAAGGAAGGACCAGAAUGGAAGAUACCUAUCUUACACACAAACAGCUGUAUCUAGAGUAUAGGCUUCUUAGCUUUCUAGAUGUUUCACCCAGUUAUAGCUGUUCUUUGAUAGUGAUACAGUGAUAGAGGCAGGAGGCAGAGAAAUUCUAGGCAGAUGGGAAGAUCCCUGGCAAAGCACCACCCUAAAGCUGAAAAGCUUGAAACCACUGCCUAAAGUGAGAACUUAUAUUCCCGUUUUCCUGCUUGAAUGUUGUCUUUUCCUAAACUACCCAUAGCCUGCCCCACCCUAUCUUGUGCCUAUAAAGACCCCAGACUCAGCCAGCAGAGGGGAGAAACAGCUGGACAUCAGAGAGAAGCAGCCGGACUUCAGAGGGACAGCUUGAUGACAUAACUUUGGAGAAGAAUGCAGCCAGAGAUGGGUGGACUCCAGGGAAAGAUUACCUGCCGCCCCACCCUCUUUUCAGCUCCCCUUCCUGCUGAGAGCCACUUUCAUCGGCAAUAAAAUACACUGCAUUUGCUAUCCUUCGAUUUGUUUGUAUGACCUUAUUUCUCCUGGACGCCGGUCAAGAGCUCAGGAACCAUCAGUGCGAUACAAAAG